rnacentral:lncRNA from 1 species
UUUGUUUUAAUAUCAUCAUGAUAUAAGUUCUGAUUGUUUCUAGUGAAUAAGCACCAAAAACAAAACAAAAACAACAUAAAACUUAACAAUGGAAAAUAAAAAAACACAAAAUAUAAAUAUCUACAAUUAGGGAAAUAAUAAAUGAAGAAAAACAAACUGACUUUGCUUAAUCCUGGCUCCCAAAGCUAGAAUAUCUCAAACUAAUAGAUUGUAGUGUUAGUAUUUUGUCUAAAAAGGGUAAUCUUAUGGCGAUUUAGCCCUAAGAGGAACUCAGUAAAUCCUUCUGUGAUGGAUCCAAUAUACAAAAGCUCAUAAAUUAAAUAAUAAAACUAUCAGAUAAAAAUAAGCUUAGCAACCAUGUGCAAGAAGAAGUCUCAAUGUGCUACCUAACACUACAGGGAGAUAACUCGGUAAAAAUCAGCUGAACGUUUUAAUCACGUUCUAUUGUUAAGGAAAUAUUAAGCUUCUAAAUGUUCAAAAUUGGGUGUUGUCAAACUGCUAUAUAUCCAAUGAUAUUUUUAAGAGAUAGUGGUUGGUUCAAUUCCAAAUGUCAAAGUAAAUAUUUUCUCCAAAUUUUAUGAAAAUUAAACGAGCCAAAUUCUUUUUAGUCAAGGUGUUUGGUACCAACUUAAAAAUAAUUUGAUUAAAAUUCUCCUGAAUUUGAUAAUUGUGUUUUGCAUAGAUCAAAAGUUGACGGCAAAACAAAAAAGCAUGAAAUAUCCUCUACAUAAAAUAUGAAAUUGUGUAAAAUAAA